AAUGUUAUUAUAAAGUUAUAAAGUAACUUUAUAAUAAUAAAGUCACUUUAAUAUUAUAAUGUGUGAAUAUGUCUUUAAUCCCACAUUGGCCAAGAAAGUGUUCGAGCUCUCAUAAGAAAGAAUAAAAAGGGACUUAAGAGCUCAUUUUAUAUCAUCCAUCCAGAGAAUUGAUAUUUGUUUGUUAUGAACUUGGGAGAAGAAGCCAAGGGUUUCUGAUUCAGUCAGCCAUUGGAGAGCGACAAUUCUUCAGUGUUGCAACCAUUUGAGGUGGUGAAAUAUCCAUUGAAUUUGGCAUUUCAGGAGAGCUUCAUUCUGGAGUUCUAUUUGGGCUUUAAAAAGAAGGGAAGACAUCUAGGGUAUGCAGAUUUUCGAAUAUAUAUCAAUUGCAGACCUACAGUUUCAUUUGGCAGCCAUUAAAAAUCAGAAUUGAAGCAAUCAUUUCAAGAUACAAUUGCUGCUACAGUACCCCCGCUACAGUAGACGCUACAGUACUCGCGCUACAAUAAUCUGUGAAUAGUGAAACGCUACAGUGGCGUGAAUAGUGACGUGCUACAGUACUAAGAAAUCAGGCUUUUAAUUGGCAAAUUAUUCGUAGCUACAGCAGGAAUGUGUUUAAUUGGCAGUCCAUUGAAGAGCGGAGACCGUCAUUUGCAGCAAGCAUUUUACAUAUUAGUUAAUCAUGAUUCAUGGAAGUAUUUAUUCACUGGAAGGGAGUUAUUCAUAGCUUGAUGGCUGUUCCAAUGCUCAAAUUUGGGUAGUAGGAGGGGAUGAAAAAGAGCAUCCUUAGUCUCCUGGGUUCCUCAUUCCAGUCCUAUCUAUCUCCUUGCAUUUGAGGAUGCAUGACUAUUUUGAUUUUUCUGCUUCUGGAGAUGUCAGAUUAGCUGUGAUGGAUGUUAGGAGAUCAUAGCAACUGCAAAUUACAGAGUGCCCUCUCGUACUCUCAACAUGGUGAUGGGUUGUUUACUCUCAAUCCUCUUGAAGCAUGGCUCAAAUACAAGCCAACAUAGCACAAGACAAUUGAUGAUUAUACUCGGGCACAGCAUUCUGCCAUGUGGCAGCAGUAAUAAGAACCCUAAUAUUUUAAUUUUUUAUAUUGAGGCAAGUGGUUUCUGGUACAAAGCCAACUGUUCUUAAUUACUAGAAAAAGACUAGAACACCAGACUUUUGUUGCUUUUGGUGGCUUGCAAGCAAAAGCCUGUUUGUCUUUUUGUGCUCACAGGCAAUAUGAUCAGAUAAUACUUUGGCUAUUAAAUAAAGCUGGAUGGUAGCAAUUUUGCACAUCAUCCAAGUUGAAAAGGAAUAAGAUGUAUUUGUGUACAACUAACUGUGAUUCCAUAUGCCGAUCAUAAAACUGAGGAAUCAGAAGAUCAAAACAUUCUUUGAUGAUAAAACUCUUGAUUUAGGUUUUGUUUAUGAAAUUGCAAAAGGCCAGGCACAAUAUACAAAGGCAAUUACAGAAAUUUGACAUGGAUAGCAUUUACUAAUUAAUUAUGCAAAGGAAUUUCAAUUGCAAAUUACCCUCAAGAUAUGAUGGUGUGGCAUUGAUAGCGUGUAAUGAAUAAUUCUGCAACAUGGAUAUAAGCACAUGCAAUAGAAUUGGGUAAUCCUGUCUGGCAUUACUGGUGAAAUUUAUUAAGGGUGUCAGGCAUUGGAGAUACUGCGUCUCUCCCACAAAAUGUGUACUGGAUUUUUUCUGUAUUUUCAUCUUCCUGCAUCUCUCUUCUGCAGUUUAGAGCAUUCUCUCACAUCCAUUUGAAGUUUGAAACUGCAGACAUAAUGGUCUGUGUUGAGACACAUAAAGCCUGUGCAGAGUAUGUUUAUCUUCAACUUCUGUAAUUUCUUCUUUAAUAUUCCCUCAUUUUCAUCAUAUUGUCUUUUGAUGUAAAUUUCACUUAACUGACUAUAGCAGCAUAGGCAUUGAUGACAUGUACAGAGUAAUACUACAAACAUGGACAGUGCAACAAGUGAGAGAAUUAAAUAAUCCUCACAACCAUUGGCAGUAAUAUUUUUUGGACAUGUCAGGCAUUGUCGAUGCUACAUCUCUUUAACAAAUUUAUGUAUUGGCUUUUCACUGUAUCUUCUGCAUCUUGCAUCUCUCUUGUGCAGGUUUGGGCAUUCUUUUCACAUCCAUUUUAAGCUUGGAAUUGCAAAGGUUAAGAUUCGCUGCUUGCGAUGAGACAAACAACCUGCACAGAGUAUGUUGUCUUUGAGCUCUUUAAUUUCUUUGUUCAAUACGCCAUUUUCUGCAUAUUGUUGUGUGGUGUAAAUUCCAUUUUUCUGUGAAAUGGCAUAAGCUCAAAUAAACAUAAUCAUCCUAGUCUAAUCAGUUUUUGGUUUGAUUUUAUGCUAUAUAAGUAAAGGAGAAGUGCAAGUUUGAAGUGGUUCUCUUGGUGUAUUUGGGGUCUUCAAACGCAAUACUUGUAUUUGUUAAUUUGUCAUAUUUUUUAGAGAUACAUUAGAAAUAGAAUAGAUAUGAUGUUUUUUGCAUCUUGUAUGCCUUUACAUCAUUGCUGUAAGUCACUUUGCUGCCAUUUACAUCGAAUCCAUUAACAGGAUUCAGGACAAUUGUUAACUUUCAAUAUUGUUUUCUAUGCUCGAAAACAUUUGUUUAAUAUGUUGCUACAUGUUGAUAGGCAAACCCAGCUGGCUAUAUUAAACUAUUGAGAUUUCGCUUUAUUGUAUGCUCUUUUCUUAUUCACCUAUACUCAACUCAGUUAAACAUGGUAUUUGUUUCAUCCUCUACUUUUCCUUUCUUUUUACCCAUUCCCAACAAAGUGCCGGAACUAUUUCAAAGACAACAUUUUUUGUACCAUGGAUUACUCUACCUUAGAUAAAACAAGGUCUAUGAGUUUUCUUAAAGGAAAAAAAUUGUACUUACUGGAUUUCAGAGAUCACCCUUCGAUUUUGUGCUGUAGAGUGUGCCGAGGCAAAUCAAAGUUCGUUCUGAAGAUAGGACUGAAGUCCUGAGUAACAAAAGAUUGGAAGUCCUUCAGAUUAAGUUUUUUAACCAUGCUCUUCUAUUUUGGAGAAGAGCAAAGAGGGAGCUGCUGUUGUUAAUGUUGGCAAGUCCGUUCUGCCCUCGGUAAAGACUUUAAUUUGACAAAUCCUAGCUAAGAGGGAGCUGUUGUUGUUAAUGUCGGUGAGGCAAUGCUGUCCUUGGCAAAGAAUUUAAUUUGGCAAAUGCUGGCUGGUAGCAUAUAUUUUGUUGAUAAUUACAAGAGCUUUGGCUUUUUGAAUGACAAACAAUUUGUUGAUAUGGUAGAGCAGGUGACUGGUUUUUUAAUUGUACUUAAUAGUGGAGACUGUCUCUUUGGCUGGCUGGACUUUCAAGGUGUGAAGAAGAGAAAUAAAUCAUCCAAUUAUUUUAGUAACCAUUAGAUGUGUUAGUGUCAUCAAAGCACAGAUUUUAAAAAGGUGGAUAGAGGAAUAGGUUCCUCGACAUGCUUUCAUUUCAAUGUUGGAGGAUGGGGGGUGCUUGAGGUUCCAAAGGGCAUCCAUGUGUUUAUGUGAUAGUUUAAUGGAUACUUGGCUGUAAGGAGGAUGUCAGAGAAUAUCAAAGAUAAUAAAGUUUGUAAUAUGUAGGAUUGUGCAGGUGUUAUAGAGAAUUCAUUUCUUCAUUAA